rnacentral:rRNA from 1 species
UACGGAAGGGGGCUAGCGUUGUUCGGAAUUACUGGGGCGUAAAGCGCACGUAGGCGGACAUUUAAGUCAGGGGUGAAAUCCCAGAGCUCAACUCUGGAACUGCCCUUCGAUACUGAGGAUCUCGAGUCCGGGAGAGGUGAGUGGAACUGCGAGUGUAAGAGGUGAAAUUCGUAGAUAUUCGCAAGAACACCAGUGGCGAA